ACCCCGUGGCCUAGUGGUUAGCACUCCUGUUUUUGAAAUCGGCAACCCGGGUUCGACCCCCACCUGGGGUA